rnacentral:rRNA from 1 species
CAGCCGCCGCGGUAAUACGGAGGGGGCUAGCGUUGUUCGGAAUUACUGGGCGUAAAGCGCACGUAGGCGGCUUUGUAAGUUAGAGGUGAGAGCCCGGAGCUCAACUCCGGAAUUGCCUUUAAGACUGCAGAGCUAGCAGGUGAGAGAGGUGAGUGGAAUUCCGAGUGUAGAGGUGAAAUUCGUAGAUAUUCGGAAGAACACCAGUGGCGAAGGCGGCUCACUGGCUCAUACUGGACGCUGAGGUGCGAAAGCGUGGGGAGCAAACAGGAUUAGAUACCCCCGUAGUCCCUGUCUCUUAUAC